GACGGAGGGCGCGAGCGUUGUUCGGAAUCACUGGGCGUAAAGCGCGCGCAGGCGGAUGGGGAAGUCGGAAGUGAAAGUCCGGGGCUCAACUCCGGGUACGCUUCCGAUACUCUCUGUCUAGGGACCGGUAGAGGCCGGUGGAAUUCCCGGUGUAGCGGUGGAAUGCGUAGAGAUCGGGAAGAACACCAGUGGCGAAGGCGGCCGGCUGGGCCGGAGAUCCGCAGAGGAUCGAUCCGACGCUGAGGCGCGAAAGCGUGGGGAGCAAACAGG
rnacentral:rRNA from 2 species